rnacentral:rRNA from 1 species
CGGGUGAGUAACACGUAUCCAACCUGCCGUCUACUCAUGGCCAGCCUUCUGAAAGGAAGAUUAAUCCAGGAUGGCAUCAUGAGUUCACAUGUCCGCAUGAUUAAAGGUAUUUUCCGGUAGACGAUGGGGAUGCGUUCCAUUAGAUAGUAGGCGGGGUAACGGCCCACCUAGUCAACGAUGGAUAGGGGUUCUGAGAGGAAGGUCCCCCACAUUGGAACUGAGACACGGUCCAA